rnacentral:rRNA from 1 species
AGAUUGAACGCUGGCGGCAUGCCUUACACAUGCAAGUCGAACGGUAACGCGGGGCAACCUGGCGACGAGUGGCGAACGGGUGAGUAAUGCAUCGGAACGUGCCCAGAAGUGGGGGAUAGCUCGGCGAAAGCCGGAUUAAUACCGCAUACGACCUACGGGUGAAAGCGGGGGAUCGCAAGACCUCGCGCUAUUGGAGCGGCCGAUGUCAGAUUAGGUUGUUGGUGGGUAAAAGCCUACCAAGCCGACGAUCUGUAGCUGGUCUGAGAGGACGACCAGCCACACUGGGACUGAGACACGGCCCAGACUCCUACGGGAGGCAGCAGUGGGAAUUUGGACAAGUGGGGCAACCCUGAUCCAGCCAUGCCGCGUGCGGAAGAACGGCCUUCGGUUGUAACCGCGUUUGUACAGGAAGAACGCGUCCGGUUAAUACCGUCGGUAA